rnacentral:lncRNA from 1 species
AUGAUUUUAUUUACAAUAAAUGAAAACAUUUUUGAUUAUCUCUCCCUUAAGUUGGCAGGAGAAGAAAGUUGCAUUAUCUUGACUUUUGCCCCCACUAUUGUGAUGUAUCAAUGGAAGAUAUUUUUUCCUCACAAUUCUGAGUUUAUAUCUCACAACUGUAACUUUUUUUCUUGUAAUCGACCCUUCGCAAAGACCCGCCCCCUUAGUUACUGCUGCUAGGUCUGACAAGCCAUUGCGUUCUUAGAUGCAUCAUGUUGUCAUCCAGUGAAAAAUACAUCGUGGAGCAAAGACGACACUGACAACGUGCUAACAGACAAGACAGAAUAGAAAUUUAAACAAUAAAAACUGUUUUGUGGCUCUUUAAUGUGUCGUGGCAGAUUGCUGUAGCACCUCAGUUCAAGCGGCACAUGAACCGAUCAUCUCUUCCACACGAAAUAAACAUGAAUGAACAACAAGGUAUCUAGUUGCAACUGUUGAAAGAUGUCAAUACUCACAUUUUUUUUAAGUUCAAGUCCACCGAUGUCCUAGUCUUCUGUCUGGUUUGUUUGCCAACAAAAUGGCAGAUUCGAUGUUAUGGUUGUUACGGUCAGAUCUCCUGUCAAUCAAACUCCUGGUGAAGGGUCAAUUCAAAAAUUCACAAUUAUGACAAUCAGUGAGAAUUGUGAGAUGCAAUGCUGCAAUUUCCAUCGUGAGAAAAACAAUGUCAAAAAUCUGAGUUGAUAUUUUUGCAGUUUUUUUCUCAGAGUUUCGAGGGGAAAAAAGAGAAUUGUGAGAUAAAAAGUCACAAUUACCUUUUUUCAUUUUUCAAUUAAUGCCAUUAAUAAGCUUCCAUAUACUGUAUCCAAAUGAAACAUCUACUAAAAUAAAAAAUAAAAAAUGUAGGGAGGGAUUGGAUUGUCAAUUCAGUGUGUUGUGUUUGAGCCUGAUUUGACCCGUUUAUUAUAUGUUACAAAAGACCUUGUGGUUUCCUGUCUGUUUGAAUGUCAGUGUCAGUGGAAAUGAGGAUCCAUCACAGUAUGUAUUUACAGAGGUCAACCCCGCAUGUCUGUUCAUAUAAAAAUGUGGAUAUAUGGAAUUUUGAAUUACUGUUUUCCACUUAUGUUCUAAUACAUUCUUCAAUAUUUAUCCUUAAAGUUUAACCUAUUAAAUUUCCCAUAUCAACUUUUUCUUUUGUCUUGCUUGAUCUUACUUCAUGUUUACUUUGUCACUAUUAAAAUCUAUCCUUCAUUAUCUUAAGAUACAUCUAGCAUUUGAUGACUGCAUAAUAUUAGAAAAGACGUUUACUUUGUUAACUUGAGCAGGGUUGACAAUACUGUAGCCUAAAUAAAGGUGACAGUGAAACACUUGGCAUUUUAAACAAGAGGCAAAUCAGAAGAUGCAAAGAAUUACGUUUAACCUUUAAAUUGCAGGACAACACAAUUAGACAAAUUCAGAUUUCCCUAAGAAACAAAUGUAAUGGUAAAAUGCUUCCACAUAUGUAAAAACAGGAUUUGGUUACUGUACAUAUUUUCCUGCACACAUUUGACAUGAAGAAUCUCUGUAAGAGAAAUGUGACUCAACACACUCUAUGAUCUUUCAAAGCAGUAUAUCUACAAUAAUAUAAUGCUUUGACAAAUGUUAUUUCUCAUUUAUUACUUAAAUGAAGUGCAUUUUAAUGUAUUUAGAUGGAAAUGAUUGAUAUAAUAUAAAAGCAACAAAUUACACUGACACUGGGGGAUUUCCAUUAUGUAGAAACCCUUUUCUCCUGCUGCGUCUCCUUCGCUCUGUAGUUCCCCAUUUCAUUGCUGCGUCUCCUUCGCUCUGUAGUUCCCCAUUUCAUAUAUUAGUGUAACGCGGGGUUUGGGUUUUGUUUAUUAUGUAUCUUUAUUUCUGUUAAAAUCAAUUUAGGCUAUAUAUUUUUUCCUAUGUGUCAGUAUCAUCCAUCCAGUCUUUUACGAUUUCUCUUUAACUAUAGGCAUACCUAAGGCCAUUUCCUUCAUAACAUCAUUGUUUGGGAAGUGACAUCAUUUUUGGUGUGAAAGCAACAGCCUAAGUAGUCUCUCAUUCUUUUCUUUAAUUUGUAGGCUAGUCUUAAUUUGUUAUUGUAUAUAAUUUUCAUCUACAUUUGUUGUGAGUUGAAUAUGUAUGUAUAAAUUACAAAAAUCAUCAGUGUUCAUGAGAGAAGUAUCCUAAAAGCAUGCCCUGCAUGGCCCAUACUGGUCUUUUGUGGGCAUAGUGGACUAGGCCAGCCUGUUUGGUCCAGAGACAACUUUUGUACCUUAAGCCGUGACUAGGUUUGUGUAGGCAAGUCUUAAUUUGUUAUUGUAUAUAAUUUUCAUCUACAUUUGUUGUGAGUUGAAUAUGUAUGUAUAAAUUACAAAAAUCAUCAGUGUUCAUGAGAGAAGUAUCCUAAAAAGCAUGCCCCCUGCAUGGCCCAUACUGGCUUUUUGUGGGCAUAGUGGACUAAGGCCAGCCUGUUUGGGUCCAGAGCAACUUUUGUACCUUUAAGCCCGUGCAGGUUUUGUGUAGGCAGCCCCGUAAUGCAACUAGGAGAACACUAACCACAUUGAUUAGCCAUUCAUUAGCCACUCAAUUGAACUGGAAUGGCUCAAACCAAAAGAGACCUUUCCAGAACCUGAGGCUAAGAAGGGUUAUAACAGGUAAGCUAGCAUGCAGUUUUUUUUUUUUUUGUAAGUGGUUACAUGUAAUCAUACAAAUCAAUAAAAAAUAAAACAAAAAAAAAAAACAAAUUUAUGGUAAUUUAAAUCAUGUGUGCAUUGAUUGUAUCUACCUGUGCUUGCUGUUAAAGUGGUGUUUGUAUUUGUGUUUAAAGGAUUUUCACCUGACUGGUUGAUUGAUUGACUGACUGAACGGACACUGCACCGAACUUUCAAAAUAAAAAAGGGAAAAGGAGUGCAAAAGUGUGGUCAGUGAAUGAAAUCCAGUUGAAUUCUUCUUGUAAUGGGCUAUCUUUUUCAAGUGGGAGAGUCCUGCGUAUUAAGAACCUUGCAAAACAGUGAGGAUCCACUUGACAGAUCAUCUGCAGUCCCCUUCAGUUGUUAAAUUAGCUGUAUUAACCUGAAUUAAAUAUUUUCUAUUUUCUAUUUAAUAAAUCCAUUGAUUUGAAAUCCCUUUGACUACUGUACAUUUGUGACAAUACAGACAUUAGUUAUGUGGUGACUGCAUCUAUUUCAGUGCAUCUA